rnacentral:piRNA from 1 species
UCCCAGUCAUUUAGAAUCCGAUGCCUAGC